rnacentral:lncRNA from 1 species
AACGAAGGAAGCAGCAACUCCAGGAGAAAUGUAUUAAAAUAACCACACCUCCCUGCACUCGGCUUGCCCUACCGUGUCGUUAGAUGGUCUGAGUGGCUGUCAAAUGGGUAGCUGGCUCUCCGAACCUAUCCAUAUGGAGUCCCGUAGGAACCAGGGGACUAGCGGCCCGUCGCAACUCCGUGAGUGAAAGCCCCUCCCUCACUUCACUUCCCGAUUUUGCAAUACAGCGAAGCGUGGUUGGCAGCCGGGACCUUUCCUUACAUUUUCGGCUCUCGUCCAACCAUUCAUUCCUGGAAAUGAAACUCAAAAGAAUGCUGCCCGAGAAAGGUCAUUACAGAGAGGCAGUCAUAGAAUCGAUUUACUUUACUUGUCCACUUGGGGAGUCUCGGACGAAGGACUCAUUCCUCAGUUGCUUCUCUUUCCUCAGCCGCUUUAGCGCGCCUAGCUGACUUAGUUACAAGGGUCCCGAGACAGACAGUGGCGCCAAAAGCAUCAAUACUACAAGCUUUUUCUCAACCCCAGAGCAGGCUCAUUCCUUUGGUCCUAAUCUAGGCCUGUGUAACCUUAUUCACUCAUCCCUAAGGCUUUCAAAGCACAGACGGAGGAAGAAAUGACUCAAAAGAAGAAGGGGCAGCCCCAGUUUCAGUAUCAGUCCUAGUCCUAAGGCGCAAUCGGAGCACUAAGCCCUUCUUUCGAUUCCUCUUCUUUUUUGUCUAAUUCUUCCUUUAAACAGGCAAUUGUCCAUCAAUCCGACUAGUCUUUAGCAUUCUUUCGGGCACUGCAUUGGAAGUCCUCCACUGCUACCUUGACUGAGGCUGGACUUAUCUGAUUGUCUGAUUCAGCUAGUCUUUUUUUGCUAUUUCGAUAUCGCUCUUCCUUAUCCUCUCCAGCAGGAGUUCAAAAUCGUUGACGUGACAUCGACCAGAAUCAUUGAUGUGCAUCUAACUGAAAGCGAUCAUGCUCAACCUCCUCGAUUACAGUCAACUGGGAACUCAUCGAUGAAUAGGGCAUACGGCGUGACAAUCUGUUGACAUACUAUACUAGUUUACGACGCUAUCACAUACACAUUUCCCUUUUUAUACCUCUACAAUACAAAGAAAUUAGAGAAAGAGAAUCAUUUCACCGAUAGCAAUGAGAGUCACUUUGCCUGGACUUCCCAAUCAAACACGGACAACGGCUACCAACAGUGAAAGAGUGGAACUCGUAUACUCCACUUCUUGUUAGUUAAGUAGAGAAGGCUACCGGCCCUGCCAUCUUGCUUUACAGACCGACCGCUGGAACUGAUCUUUCUUAUGUAAUAUUGCCGGGUCGGCUACCUCAUCUCUCUUAUCACGGAAUCUUCUUAUACGUUGAUACACGAGUUGGACUCCAGUAUGCCAAUCUAAGUCAGAAGACUGAGUCUCAGAGUCAGUCAAGAGUCCUUCCAUACCGAGAUUGAAGGUCAGAUCGAUGAGAUCGCUCAGUCGCAGUGGAGUUGUUUGGAGUUUCCUUGGUAGACAAUAGAGAGCCAAAUCAGACUCGUGAGGUCGGUGAACUAGGUGGAAAGUGCAGGUCAGCGCUGUGGAGAUAGAAAGGCUGAUGGAUGGAUCCUUCCACUGUCUUUGAACCGAGACUAGGCAAUUGAGAAGACCAUAGCAUAGAGAGCAUAGAAAAGCCUCUCUCUCAUCCACUUUGAGCUCAAUAAACAGCAGCUGGGCGUCAAUCGGUGCAUCUUUCGCUUCCAAAGUCUUCGUCUUUGCCCAUUUUGCACUUAUCUUCU